CCGUCCCCGCCUCGGCCGCCCGUCUCUGCCUCCGCCAUGGCUGCUGCUUGCCCGCCGGCCCCGACGUGACCACCCCGGAUCCUCACUGCUUGACUACUACGACCGCCGACCUCGACACUUCGCCUACUUCCUCUACUACCGAGGGUGAUUGCACAAUGACGGGUGGUAGAUCCACAAAAGGAACCAUUAGUCAUAUGUAUGGCCAAGAGAAGCCAAGAAUAAGCCGUCCUCGAAAUAGAAGACCUCCUGGUCGCUUCCUUGAUGAGGAAGCAGGAGAGCGCGAGGUUGAGGUGCCACGAGGACGAGGAGGGAGUGCCACAGGGAUGGCACGAGGUCGAGGUCGAGGACGAUCUCGUACUAGACACGUUCAGGAGCUUGUAGUAGCCCCCGAGGAUACUACACUCAGACGACG